GAUGAACGCUGGCGACGUGCCUAAUACAUGCAAGUCGAGCGAACAGACGAGGAGCUUGCUCCUUUGACGUUAGCGGCGGACGGGUGAGUAACACGUGGGUAACCUACCUAUAAGACUGGGAUAACUUCGGGAAACCGGAGCUAAUACCGGAUAAUAUUUCGAACCGCAUGGUUCGAUAGUGAAAGAUGGCUUUGCUAUCACUUAUAGAUGGACCUGCGCCGUAUUAGCUAGUUGGUAGGGUAACGGCUUACCAAGGCAACGAUACGUAGCCGACCUGAGAGGGUGAUCGGCCACACUGGAACUGAGACACGGUCCAGACUCCUACGGGAGGCAGCAGUAGGGAAUCUUCCGCAAUGGGCGAAAGCCUGACGGAGCAACGCCGCGUGAGUGAUGAAGGUCUUCGGAUCGUAAAACUCUGUUAUUAGGGAAGAACAAACGUGUAAGUAACUGUGCACGUCUUGACGGUACCUAAUCAGAAAGCCACGGCUAACUACGUG
rnacentral:rRNA from 1 species